AGGCGUCGAUCUUAGUUGGGAAAGUCAUAGCGGGCUGCAGAACCCACGUGAGUGGCCAUGAUCCUUCCUCGCCUCGGGCCACCACAUGUCAUAUAUUUAAGGUGUUUGAUUUGCACAUGCAACAGGUAGGCGCUCAAUAAAUGCGUGAGGCGCGAAUGCUUGUGCCUAUGUGGGCAGGCGGUCUGGAAAAAGGUCCCUAGUCGGCACAGGGAUGGUGAAAGGAGCAGGUGUGCGUGUGUGUCAGGGUCCAUCUUCUAGCAUCCUCCAGGUUAAGCAAAGGACGCUGUUCACACCAAGGUUCCAAGCCACCCAUAGGCUCUACGGGUCUAAGGAACCCCGUUCUCCGCAACUUGGGCGCAAGUUGUGGCUGUCUUGUAGUUAAGGAAGUUGAGUUCCACAGUUUAGUAAUGGAUUUCAGGUUAGAGAAUAGCUCGAGGAGAGCGAGCCCUUUAAGAUUAUGCCCAGUGAGCCUGUCCUGGUCUUUAGGGAGAGGAGGGCGGGGCCUGAGACGUUAGUCCCACCCACCGCGGCCCCGCCCCGGCGCCCGCUCCGCCCCCGGCUCGCUGCCCGCGGUGCCUUUGAUGUUCCGACCCGCCAGCUCCCAAAGCGGCUGUGCCCCGCGCCCUCGCCCCGCGCCCACUGGCCGCUCAGGCGGAGUCAGCGUGCGCUCCGCCCGCCGCGUUCCGGGCUCGGAGCUCCGCACCCUGGGCUCGCUGCCUCCCGGGCCGGCUCCGCGCCCCGCACCCGGCGCCCCAGCGGGCGCAGCGCACCAUGCCGCAGCUGGACUCGGGCGGGGGCGGCACGGGAGCAGGAGACGACCUCGGCGCGCCGGACGAGCUCUUGGCCUUCCAAGACGAAGGCGAGGAACAGGACGAUAAGAAUCGCGACAGCGCCGCGGGCCCCGAGCGGGACCUGGCGGAGCUCAAGUCCUCACUGGUGAAUGAGUCUGAAGGCGCGGCCG
rnacentral:lncRNA from 1 species